UACAGAGGUCCCAAGCGUUGUUCGGAUUCACUGGGCGUAAAGGGUGCGUAGGCGGUCGGGUAAGUCUGAUGUGAAAUCUCACAGCUUAACUGUGAAACUGCAUUGGAUACUAUCCGGCUAGAGGAAUGGAGGGGAGACUGGAAUACUUGGUGUAGCAGUGAAAUGCGUAGAUAUCAAGUGGAACACCAGUGGCGAAGGCGGCUUCCUGGUCUGCGACUGACGCUGUGGCGCGAAAGCUAGGGGAGCAAACGGG
rnacentral:rRNA from 1 species